UACGUAGGGGGCUAGCGUUGUCCGGAAUCAUUGGGCGUAAAGAGCGUGUAGGUGGCUUGGUGAGUCCGCUGUGAAAGUCCAGGGCUCAACCCUGGAAUGCCAGUGGAAACUGUCAAGCUAGAGUCCGGAAGAGGCGAGUGGAAUUCCUGGUGUAGCGGUGAAAUGCGCAGAUAUCAGGAGGAACACCAAUGGCGAAGGCAGCUCGCUGGAACGGUACUGACGCUGAGGCGCGAAAGCGUGGGGAGCGAACAGG
rnacentral:rRNA from 1 species